CCUACGGGCGGCAGCAGUGGGGAAUAUUGGACAAUGGGCGAAAGCCUGAUCCAGCCAUGCCGCGUGUGUGAAGAAGGCCUUCGGGUUGUAAAGCACUUUCAGUGGGGAAGAAAGCCUUGGGGCUAAUACCCUCGAGGAAGGACAUCACCCACAGAAGAAGCACCGGCUAACUCCGUGCCAGCAGCCGCGGUAAUACGGAGGGUGCGAGCGUUAAUCGGAAUUACUGGGCGUAAAGCGCGCGUAGGCGGUCUGAUAAGCCGGUUGUGAAAGCCCCGGGCUCAACCUGGGAACGGCAUCCGGAACUGUCAGGCUAGAGUGCAGGAGAGGAAGGUAGAAUUCCCGGUGUAGCGGUGAAAUGCGUAGAGAUCGGGAGGAAUACCAGUGGCGAAGGCGGCCUUCUGGACUGACACUGACGCUGAGGUGCGAAAGCGUGGGUAGCAAACAGGAUUAGAUACCCCUGUAGC
rnacentral:rRNA from 1 species